rnacentral:rRNA from 1 species
CCUACGGGAGGCAGCAGUAGGGAAUAUUGGACAAUGGACGCAAGUCUGAUCCAGCCAUGCCGCGUGCAGGAUGACAGCCCUCUGGGUUGUAAACUGCUUUUAUAUGAGAAGAAACCCUCAGAUGCGUUUGAGGCUGACGGUAUCGUAUGAAUAAGGAUCGGCUAACUUCGUGCCAGCAGCCGCGGUAAGACGAAGGAUCCAAGCGUUGUCCGGAUUUACUGGGUUUAAAGGAUGCGUAGGCGGACACUUAAGCCAGUGGUGAAAUCCCAUAGCUCAACUAUGGAACUGCCAUUGGAACUGUGUGUCUUGAAUUCGGUUGAGGUAGAUGGAAUAUAACAUGUAGCGGUGAAAUGCUUAGAUAUGUUAUAGAACACCGAUUGCGAAGGCAGUCUACUAAGCCGACAUUGACGCUGAGGCAUGAAAGCGUGGGGAGCGAACAGGAUUAGAUACCCUGGUAGUCCACGCCCUAAACGUUGAUUACUCGCUGUUAGCGAUACACUGUUAGCGGCUAAGCGAAAGCGUUAAGUAAUCCACCUGGGAAGUACGACCGCAAGGUUGAAACUCAAAUGAAUUGACGG